ACCUACAGCCAUGCCACCCUGAACAUGCCUGAUCUCGUCUGAUCUUGGAUGCUAAGCAGGGUCAGGCCUGGUUAGUACUUGGAUGGGAGAUCACCUAGGAAGACCAGAUGCUGUAGGCA
rnacentral:rRNA from 1 species